UACGUAGGGGGCUAGCGUUGUCCGGAAUCAUUGGGCGUAAAGAGCGUGUAGGCGGCCCGGUAAGUCCGCUGUGAAAGUCGGGGGCUCAACCCUCGAAUGCCGGUGGAUACUGUCGGGCUAGAGUACGGAAGAGGCGAGUGGAAUUCCCGGUGUAGCGGUGAAAUGCGCAGAUAUCGGGAGGAACACCAAUUGCGAAGGCAGCUCGCUGGGACGUCACUGACGCUGAGACGCGAAAGCGUGGGGAGCAAACAGG
rnacentral:rRNA from 1 species